ensembl:lincRNA
CCUUUUCAUGUGCCCCCACCCAAUCCUGUCUGCCAUGUCAGGCAUUGCACUUCCUAAACUCCGCCUCCAGCCUGGGGCUAUUUAACCUAGGACCCCAGGAAAGAUCGGGAGAGGCCACGUUUUUCUCUUUCCUGUGGCCUUUCCGCAUCCACAAUAAAGGCAUUUUAUUCUGUUUUACUUCUCUCUGCAUUGGAAAAACCUAUCAUAUUGGUGCCGUGACUCGGUGCAGGCUGUGUGGCCUUACUAAAGGAGAGAGCAUUUGAUCCCCUGGUUUGAGCCCCCCCUGCCAAAGAACCUUUUUCCUUUCUCUGGAUAUUUGCUGUUGCCAGCUUCCAUCCAACACCAGCCAGCUCCGAUUCUCACAGGUGAAUAUGAAUUUUAUAUUUGUUCUCAACCAAUCAUCAGAUGGACAGAUUCAACAUGGCUGAAAAGAAAAGGAGCCACAUUUGAGUUACCCAGAGAAAAUCAAAUAAAAACACAGGUUAGAUUCCUAGAAGAGUUAUAUUGACAGAAAACCACAAGACAAAACUGGGAUUUCCGUUUCCCCAGGAAGCUCUUUA